rnacentral:lncRNA from 1 species
GUUAACGCAUUUGGUUAACCUGUUAACGCAAAACAGAAUGUUAUUCCUGCGUUAACAAAAAAAUAGAAUGCAGAAUUUUCUGCGUUUUUCAUCGUUGGAGGACUUUCGGACCUCCGAUUUCGAUUCCUUAAAAAACCAAACGUUCAGAAAAUUAUAACUAAUACAAUAAUCUCAUUAUAUAAGGUUAAUUUACAGUUUUAACACAAUCAAUCACCACAAAUCAAGAAUACUUAUCAAAAUUGUUAGGUUUUAGGGGAUUCACGUAAAC